rnacentral:rRNA from 1 species
GCGGAAGGAUCAUUAUCGAGUUUUGAAAUGGGUUGUAGCUGGCCUCUCCGGAGGCAAGUGCACACCCUGCUCAUCCACUCUACACCUGUGCACUUACUGUGGGUAUCGGAAGGCGUCGCGUCGUUCUUACGCCGAGGCGUUGACUGUGCCUACGUUUUACUACAAACGCUUCAGUAUCAGAAUGUGUAUUGCGAUGUAACGCAUCUCUAUACAACUUUCAGCAACGGAUCUCUUGGCUCUCGCAUCGAUGAAGAACGCAGCGAAAUGCGAUAAGUAAUGUGAAUUGCAGAAUUCAGUGAAUCAUCGAAUCUUUGAACGCACCUUGCGCUCCUUGGUAUUCCGAGGAGCAUGCCUGUUUGAGUGUCAUAAAAUUCUCAACCCCACAAGUCUUUGCGGGCUUAAGGGGCUUUGGACUUGGAGGCUUGUCGGCGUUCUGCAAAGUCAUCGACUCCUCUCAAAUGCAUUAGCUUGAUUCCUUGCGGAUCGGCUAUCGGUGUGAUAAUUGUCUACGCCGUUGGUCGUGAAGUGUUUACGGCGAGCUUCUAAUUGUCUCUGAUUUUGGAGACAGCUUCAUAUUGACCUCUGACCUCAAAUCAGGUAGGACUACCCGCUGAACUUAAGCAUAUCAAUAAGCGG